rnacentral:rRNA from 1 species
UAGGGAAUAUUAGAAAUGGACGAAAGUCUGAUCUAGCAACACCGCGUGUGCGAAGAAGGCCUUCGGGUUGUAAAGCACUUUUUGGAAGGAUUAGGAAGGAAUGUACUUCCAGAAUAAGUCUCGGCUAACUACGUGCCAGCAGCCGCGGUAACACGUAGGAGGCAAACGUUAUCCGGAUUUACUGGGCGUGAAGCGCGUGUAGGUGGUUCUGUAAGUAGGGCGUGAAAGCUCCUGGCUCAACUGGGAGAGGCCGUUCUAAACUGCAGAGCUAGAGGAUGGUAGAGGGAGGUGGAGUUCCGGGUGUAGCGGUGGAAUGCGCAGAUAUCCGGAGGAACACCAGUGGCGAAAGCGGCCUCCUGGACCAUUCCUGACACUCAGACGCGAAAGCUAGGGUAGCAAACGGG